GAUGAACGCUAGCGGCAGGCUUAACACAUGCAAGUCGAGGGGCAGCGUGGAGCAGCAAUGCUCUGACGGCGACCGGCGGAAGGGUGCGUAACACGUGAGCGACUUGCCCGUCACAGGGGGAUAACCGGCGGAAACGGCGACUAAUACCCCAUAUGAUGCGAUGCUGCAUGGCAUUGCAUUGAAAGAUUCAUCGGUGGCGGAUAGGCUCGCGGGACAUUAGCUAGACGGCGGGGCAACGGCCCACCGUGGCGACGAUCGGUAGCCGACCUGAGAGGGUGAUCGGCCACAUUGGGACUGAGACACGGCCCAAACUCCUACGGGAGGCAGCAGUGGGGAAUAUUGGGCAAUGGAGGAAACUCUGACCCAGCAACGCCGCGUGGAGGAAGAAGGUUUUCGGAUCGUAAACUCCUGUCCUUGGAGACGAGUAGAAGACGGUAUCCAAGGAGGAAGCCCCGGCUAACUACGUGCCAGCAGCCGCGGU
rnacentral:rRNA from 1 species